rnacentral:misc_RNA from 1 species
GCUUCAAGUGAGGGUCUUUGUGUAGAUCUAUGUUACGCCUCUAUUUGAGGGCUAAAGUAGAGAGGUGGAUAAUUGAGUGGCUUUCAAAGGUGGUUUUCUGUCAAAGGUUAAAAAAGAUGUUGGUGGUAGGUUUCAAUUGUCAUCCAGCACCCCCUUUUCUGAGUUAUUCUGUUGUCGUCAUGUGUUGAUGCCUCUAUAUUUCUUCAGUUCAGGAUGCUUAGUUGGAGGAAGGGCUCGUGCUGUAGGGGAGGUAAUGAUACAGCUGCUAGAGUCUUUCCUUUGGUUAGAUGAGUUUUUCUGUUUUAAAUCCUCUCGUGAUCGUUUUAAUCAGACCUUGGUAGUUGGCUUACAUGCCAUUGUAUUGCGGUGCUGAUGAUGCAGGUUAGUGCUUGUGGAGCUUUUUUCUUCAACAUUACCAAUGGUCUGUGGUAGCAGUACCUUGAAGGAGUAGCUAAGAGCUUUAUCUAUGAAAGCAUCUAGAGACUUACUUGGAGCCAUCUAGUAGGCUAGAUCCAUCAAAUUGUG